GAUGAAGAACGUAGCGAAAUGCGAUAAGAAAUGUGAAUUGCAGAAUUCAGUGAAUCAUCGAAUCUUUGAACGCACAUUGCGCCCGCCAGUAUUCUGGCGGGCAUGCCUGUUCGAGCGUCAUUUCAACCAUCAAGCCCCCGGCUUGUGUUGGGGACCUGCGGCUGCCGCAGGCCCUGAAAACCAGUGGCGGGCUCGCUGUCACACCGAGCGUAGUAGAUUUUCAUCUCGCUCAGGGCGUGCUGCGGGUUCCGGCCGUAAAAAGCCUUAUUUACCCAAGGUUGACCUCGGAUCAGGUAGGAAGACCCGCUGAACUUAAGCAUAUCAAUAAGCGGAGGA
rnacentral:misc_RNA from 1 species